rnacentral:rRNA from 1 species
UAGGGAAUCUUCCGCAAUGGGCGAAAGCCUGACGGAGCAACGCCGCGUGAGUGAUGAAGGUCUUCGGAUCGUAAAACUCUGUUAUCAGGGAAGAACAAAUGUGUAAGUAACUGUGCACAUCUUGACGGUACCUGAUCAGAAAGCCACGGCUAACUACGUGCCAGCAGCCGCGGUAAUACGUAGGUGGCAAGCGUUAUCCGGAAUUAUUGGGCGUAAAGCGCGCGUAGGCGGUUUUUUAAGUCUGAUGUGAAAGCCCACGGCUCAACCGUGGAGGGUCAUUGGAAACUGGAAAACUUGAGUGCAGAAGAGGAAAGUGGAAUUCCAUGUGUAGCGGUGAAAUGCGCAGAGAUAUGGAGGAACACCGGUGGCGAAAGCGGCUCUCUGGUCUGUAACUGACGCUGAGGCUCGAAAGCGUGGGGAGCGAACAGG